UACAGAGGUCUCAAGCGUUGUUCGGAUUCAUUGGGCGUAAAGGGUGCGUAGGUGGCGCGCUAAGUCAGGUGUGAAAUCUCGGGGCUUAACUCCGAAACUGCAUUUGAUACUGGCGUGCUUGAGGACUGGAGAGGAGACUGGAAUUUACGGUGUAGCAGUGAAAUGCGUAGAGAUCGGAAGGAAGACCAGUGGCGAAGGCGGGUCUCUGGACAGUUCCUGACACUGAGGCACGAAGGCCAGGGGAGCAAACGGG
rnacentral:rRNA from 1 species